GUGACAGCUUUUCUUAUAUUUAAACAUGGCUAUCAUAUCAUUUCUUACUCUUCUCCAAGCUAAACACAUUCAACUCUUUCUCUCAUGAAUUCAAGACCCCACCCGCCUGUAAUUAAUCGGCAUCAAUGCACCUGUUGCUAUCUUGUUCAAUUUAGGCCCCUUCUACACUGUCCUGUAUCCCAGAAUCUGAUCCCAGAUUAUCCGCUUAUCCCAGUUUAUAUGGCAAUGUAGACUCAUAUAACCCAGUUCAAAGCAGGUAAUCUGGGAUCAGAUCCUGGGAUAUAGGACAGUGUAGAUCCAGACUUAGCUAGAGAAAACUUAGACCUUACAGGACAUCAUUGAGGUUUCCUGACAACAAGGGGAAUAUUAUUCUGUCCCGUUCUGAAGGGUGCAAAGCCUAAACAAUUUUCAGAAUUCAGUAUCAACAACCACAUGGACUCCAACCUUUCCUAUUUGAAUAUGCAGCACAAAAUGAAUAAUCUGAAGGGAAGACCUUCCAAACGACUCUGGCUUCAAACAAAAAAAUGACAGCAGUUCAUUUUUCCUGCCAUGGAAGAAACUACAACCACCUUUGACGUCAAGAGGGUUCCCCAGCCAAUGAAGACCCAGAUCCUGGCCAUCUUUCUGACCAAUCAGGAGGGCAAGGGUAUUUUGAAUGGCUGUCAAAGAGAAUAAAGUGUCUUCUACUGUA